rnacentral:rRNA from 1 species
GUCCACGCCGUAAACGAUGUCAACUAGCCGUUGGGUUCCUUGAGAACUUAGUGGCGCAGCUAACGCAUUAAGUUGACCGCCUGGGGAGUACGGCCGCAAGGUUAAAACUCAAAUGAAUUGACGGGGGCCCGCACAAGCGGUGGAGCAUGUGGUUUAAUUCGAAGCAACGCGAAGAACCUUACCUGGCCUUGACAUGCUGAGAACUUUCCAGAGAUGGAUUGGUGCCUUCGGGAACUCAGACACAGGUGCUGCAUGGCUGUCGU